GUAUGCCUGGCUCCCUGUAUGCCAUCCUCUAAGCUCAUCGACCAUUGAUGACCUCCGUGAAUGGCGUAUGAGGAGCCAUGCAUAU
rfam:Brassica napus, WGS project CCCW01000000 data, contig: 40983